rnacentral:rRNA from 1 species
AUGGAUUAGUGGCGAACGGGUGAGGAACACGUGAGAAACCUGCCCAUCAUUUUGGGAUAACACCGGGAAACCGGUGCUAAUACCGGAUACUCCAUCGCAACGGCAUCGUUGUGAUGGGAAAGAAUCUCGAUGAUGGAUGGUCUCGCGGCCUAUCAGCUUGUUGGUGAGGUAAUGGCUCACCAAGGCGACGACGGGUAGCCGGCCUGAGAGGGCGACCGGCCACACUGGGACUGAGACACGGCCCAGACUCC